UUGAGACGCUCAGGUGUCUAAACGGGAUUAUCUGAAUUAACUUGGACAGGUCAGGAUGACAGCCGGGGCAGUGGUGUCAGUGAUCCUGGCCAUCGGAGGAGCUGCACUGUUUUCAUCCGUUCACAAGAUCGAAGAAGGACACACGGCUGUGUAUUACAGAGGCGGAGCUCUGCUGACGUCCACCAACGGCCCAGGUUUUCACCUCAUGCUGCCCUUCAUCACCACCUACAAGUCUGUACAGACCACACUCCAGACAGAUGAGGUGAAGAAUGUCCCGUGUGGCACAAGUGGUGGAGUGAUGAUCUACUUCGACAGGAUAGAAGUGGUCAACUACCUCAUCCCUUCAGCUGUCUAUGGCAUCGUGAGGAACUACACUGUGGACUACGACAAAUCUCUGAUCUUCAACAAGGUGCACCAUGAGCUGAACCAGUUCUGUAGUGUACACACGCUUCAGGAGGUCUACAUCGGACUGUUCGAUCAGAUUGAUGAGAAUCUGAAGCUCACCCUGCAGGAGGACCUGACCACCAUGGCUCCUGGUCUCAUCAUUCAGGCAGUGCGUGUGACUAAACCCAACAUCCCCGAGUCCAUCCGCAGGAACUACGAGCUCAUGGAAACGGAGCGAACCAAACUGCUGAUUGCGGCUCAGACGCAGAAGGUGGUGGAGAAGGAGGCGGAGACUGAGAGGAAACGAGCCGUGAUUGAGGCUGAAAAGAUCGCCCAAGUGGCCGAGAUCAAAUUCGGACAGAAGGUGAUGGAGAAAGAGACGGAGAAGAAGAUCUCUGAAAUCGAGGACAGCGCGUUCGUCGCUCGUCAGAAAGCUAAAGCAGAUGCUGAGUUCUACACGGCCCAGAGAGCAGCUGAAGCCAAUAAGAUGAGCUUUAUUGGCAUGACUGUUAUAGGACAAUGUUGCCAAAGCAUUGACAAUUCUACAUUCAGUUCAUUUUUAUAUCACAUUUAAAGUGGAAAGUACGGAGAAAAAAAUAAUAAUAAUGAAAAUGAUUCCGGGGCAGGAUGAUUCCUGAAGGGUUGUGGCCAGUUCAUUGAUGAAAAUAUUGAAUAGUGUUGGGCUCAGGCUGCAGCCCUGACCAACUCCUCUGGUCUGAUAGAAAUACUCAGUUCUGUGGUCAGUGAUUUUAACACAGCACUUGUUCUGGUCAUACAUGUCCUUUAUGAUGUCAUAUGUCUUUCCUCCUAUUCAGCUCUGAAUCAGCCUUAUGAAGAGCCUGGUGUACCAAACUGAAUCAAAAUCAAUGAAGCAGCUACCAUAUAUUUAGUCUCUUUUUGUUUGGUGGACAUGUUUUUGGAUGAGUUUAGGGAGGGUGUAAAUGUGGUCAGUAGUUCUCUGUUUGGCCAGAAGUCCAAUUUGACAAGGGUGUAGUGUCUUGUGUUCUUGAAGGUAGUUCACUAAUCUGCUGUUUAUAAUGCAGAAUAAUUUCCCGAGGUUGUUGCCCACUGCAAUGCCCCUGUAAUUAUUUGGGUCGUAUUGGUCACCUUGUUUAAAAAUUGGAGUGAUAUGAUUUUCCUUCCAUUUUUUGGGGAAGUGUCCUGAUUUUAAUAGUAAAUUGAAUAAUCUGAGAAUAGCAUUUCUCAGUUUAGGGCAACUAUGUUUUAGCAUUUUGUUGUAUAUACCGUCUGGGCCACAAGACUUUUUAUUCUUAAGUGAUUUAAUCUUUUCUGUUAAUUCAUUUAGUAAUACUGGGGAGUCCAAAUGGUUUAAUUGAUCCUUUACUGUAUGUUCCAGGUUGUGGAGAUGGGAGGUCAGUUGUAUUUGGAUGGGAUUUGGUUCAUGUUCAGUAUAGAGGUGUCCAAAAUGUUUAGUCCAGAUGUUUGGGUCACGAACGGGAAUAUGUUGAUCUUUUUUGGGGGAGAUUAAACUGUCCCACAAUUCCCAGAAUGUGGUGGUGUUGACCGUUUCCUCGAUCUUGUUGAGCUUUGCUGUCAUGUGCUCGGCUCUUUUCCUCUGUAGUAGGUUUAGUAGGUCUGUUGUGGUAUAGAUGGCACACAGGUAAAUAUCCUCAUGUGAACAAAUUAUUUCCUUCUUAAGUUUCAUCCAAAUGUGUCCUCCCUUUUUUUACUACUGAAAUAUACUGCCAAAGUUCAUCUUUAAACCAAACCAUAAUUCCUCCUGAAUCCCUGCCAUUUUUGACAAGAGGAUUUUUUUAUGGAUGGAGUAUGUAAUUCUCGAAAGUUUAAAGGAGUAUAGAUUUUAAUAUCUAACUGAUUCCGUGUCUCCAGUAGUAUAAUUAUAUCCGAGUUAUUUACAAUAUUUAUAAAGUCAGGGUGAGUGCUCUUUUCUCCAAAUGAAGAAGAGAAUAUUCCCUGGAUGUUGUAGCUUGUAAUUUUUAGCGAUGACAUUGUGACUAACUCAAUUUAUCAGAGAAAUGAAUGUAUGAUCUUAUGUCCCAGUUGUGUUACAAGAUAUACCAUAUAAAAUUGGCUAAAUAUGUAAAUAAACAAACAAACAAUAAAUAAAUAAUCAACAUAAGUAGAUUGCAAAAGAGUAAGAGGUGAAAGUAACCACAUAAAUUAGCUAAACUUAUGAACCAGAAGAUUAUCUCACAUAAAUUGAAGCAUGUUUUUUAUCUGGCUGAGGUCACUGGGUUCUGAUCUACCUCUACUGGUCACUGCAGCAGAGUAGCUGACUGUUGGGUGGGUGUCUGUCUCUCUCAUCACUGUCUGGUUGGGUCUGCUGGGGGCUUCUCAUGGUGACGUCCUUGAUUGUUGAAGCCGCAUGCCGUCCCGAUGAAUGUGGAGAUGAUCAUACAGGUGCUCGUGGGUGAUCCGCUGAUGGUUUGCUGUAUGCACAUUUAAUGGUGCACAGGUCCUAAUGAUCUCUGAGUUUACUGCAUUAAUGAUGGAUUGAGGGAUGUUUCUGUGGGGCAGAAGUGUGGAGAUGACUCUGGUGCUGGGGUAAAUCCUGGUAGCCAUUUUUACUACGUUAAUUAGAGAUUUAGCUACAUCCACAUUUCUGGUGUUGAGGGAAUUUGUUCCUGUGUGCAGGAUGAUGUGUGAAGGCGUGUCCAGUACACCCUCUCUCAGCAGAUGAAGCUGACUCCGGAGUAUCUGCAGAUAAUGAAGUAUAAAGCGAUAGCAGCUAACAGUAAGAUCUACUUCGGCAGUGAGAUCCCACGCAUGUUCCUUGACUCCAGAAGCUCAUCCAAACCCACCGAGCUUCU